rnacentral:rRNA from 1 species
UGGCUCAGGACGAACGCUGGCGGCGUGCCUAACACAUGCAAGUCGAGCGAGGAGAUCCUUCGGGAUGAUCCUAGCGGCGGACGGGUGAGUAACACGUGGGCAACCUGCCUCAUAGAGAGGAAUAGCCUUCCGAAAGGGAGAUUAAUACCUCAUAACAUUGCAGUUUCGCAUGAAACAGCAAUUAAAGGAGCAAUCCGCUAUGAGAUGGGCCCGCGGCGCAUUAGCUAGUUGGUGAGGUAACGGCUCACCAAGGCGACGAUGCGUAGCCGACCUGAGAGGGUGAUCGGCCACAUUGGGACUGAGACACGGCCCAGACUCCUACGGGAGGCAGCAGUGGGGAAUAUUGCACAAUGGGGGAAACCCUGAUGCCAGCAACGCCGCGUGAGUGAUGACGGCCUUCGGGUUGUAAAGCUCUGUCUUCAGGGACGAUAAUGACGGUACCUGAGGAGGAAGCCACGGCUAACUACGUGCCAGCCGCCGC